rnacentral:rRNA from 1 species
UACGUAGGGGCCGAGCGUUGUCCGGAGUUAUUGGGCGUAAAGCGCGCGCAGGCGGCUUCACGCGCCCGACGUGAAAGCCCCCGGCUUAACCGGGGAGGGUCGUCGGGGACGGUGGAGCUUGAGGGCGGGAGAGGUCGGUGGAAUUCCCGGUGUAGUGGUGAAAUGCGUAGAGAUCGGGAGGAACACCAGUGGCGAAGGCGGCUAUCUGGACGGUUUCUGACGCUAAGACGCGAAAGCGUGGGGAGCAAACAGG